UACGUAGGGUGCAAGCGUUGUCCGGAAUCAUUGGGCGUAAAGAGCGUGUAGGCGGCCAGAUAAGUCCGCUGUGAAAACUCGAGGCUCAACUUCGAGCUGUCGGCGGAAACUAUCUGGCUAGAGUCCGGAAGAGGAGAGUGGAAUUCCUGGUGUAGCGGUGGAAUGCGCAGAUAUCAGGAGGAACACCAAUAGCGAAGGCGACUUUCUGGCCUAUAACUGACGCUGAGGCGCGAAAGCGUGGGGAGCAAACAGG
rnacentral:rRNA from 1 species